rnacentral:rRNA from 1 species
AAAGAAACUAACAAGGAUUCCCUUAGUAACUGCGAGUGAAGAGGGAAGAGCUCAAAUUUAAAAUCUGGCAGUGUUUUGCUGUCCGAGUUGUAAUCUAGAGAAGUGCUGCCCGUGCUGGACCAUGUACAAGUCUCCUGGAAUGGAGCGUCACAGAGGGUGAGAAUCCCGUCUUUGACAUGGACUACCAGUGCAUUUGUGGUGUGCUCUCAAAGAGUCGAGUUGUUUGGGAAUGCAGCUCUAAAUGGGUGGUAAACUCCAUCUAAAGCUAAAUAUUGGCGAGAGACCGAUAGCGAACAAGUACCGUGAGGGAAAGAUGAAAAGAACUUUGGAAAGAGAGUUAAACAGUAUGUGAAAUUGUUGAAAGGGAAACGCUUAAAGUCAGUCGUGUCGGCCAGGGAUCAACCCAGCUUCUCUGCUGGGUGUACUUCCUGAUCUGAUGGGCCAACAUCAGUUUUGACUGCUGGAGAAGGAUAGAGGGAAUGUGGCACCUUCGGGUGUGUUAUAGCUCUCUGUCAGAUGCAGUGGUUGGGACUGAGGAAAGCAGCAUGCCGCAAGGCCGGGUUUUGACCACGUUCAUGCUGAGGAUGUUGGCAUAAUGGCUUUAAUCGACCCGUCUUGA